rnacentral:misc_RNA from 1 species
AAGUCGUAACAAGGUUUCCGUAGGUGAACCUGCGGAAGGAUCAUCAAUAAUCCAAAUGAUCAGUGACUUAAAAAACCACUGGUCUAACCUUCUUGUGAACCGUUUAUUGUUUAUUGGUUGGGAGUAUAACUGAGAUGUCAACUUUGUUGUCGGAUCGACUCCCAAUCGAUUAUCUUUAUACAAACUAUUUUAUUUUUGAAGUUGAUUAUUUUACAGGAAACUGUACUAAUAUAUAUACAACUUAUAGCGAUGGAUCUCUAGGCUCUG